UCGAUCGAUGCUGCGUGACCU
rnacentral:miRNA from 1 species